GUACGAGGAUCGCCGUGCAGAGUGGGUCACCAACGAGGCAGGCUUCAGCCAUAGCCACCAGCACGGUUUCGGCCUGCUCAACGCCUGGAGGCUCGUGAAUGCAGCCAAGAUCUGGACAUCUGUCCCUUAUUUAGCAUCCUACGUCAGUCCCGUGUUAAAAGAAAACAAGGCGAUUCCACAGUCCCCUCGUUCCCUGGAGGUCCUGUGGAAUGGAUGGACCUGGAGAUGUCGGGGCUGAAGACCCUGGAGCAUGUGGCUGUGACAGUCUCCAUCACUCACCCACGGCGCGGCAGCUUGGAGCUGAAGCUGUUCUGCCCCAGCGGAAUGAUGUCCCUCAUCGGCGCCCCCCGCAGCAUGGACUCGGAUCCCAACGGCUUCAAUGACUGGACCUUCUCCACCGUGCGAUGCUGGGGGGAGAGAGCCCGAGGGACCUACAGGCUUGUCAUCAGGGAUGUCGGGUUGCCAUUGGACCAAGAGGGUUGAUGCCAAGAGUGUGCCCCAUCCAUGAAAUGGGCAUUGCUAUCUGAAACUGUUCAUUUAUACUACCUCU
rnacentral:sRNA from 1 species